rnacentral:misc_RNA from 1 species
UGUGGGAGCUGGCUUGCCUGCGAUAGCGGUGGCUCAGUUGAAGAAUCAUUGACUGACUGGUCGCCGUCGCAGGCAAGCCAGCUCCCACA